rnacentral:rRNA from 1 species
AAUAGAUACCCAGGUAGUCCACGCCGUAAACGAUGGAUACUAGCUGUCGGGAGCAAUCUCGGUGGCUAAGCGAAAGUGAUAAGUAUCCCACCUGGGGAGUACGAACGCAAGUUUGAAACUCAAAGGAAUUGACGGGGGCCCGCACAAGCGGUGGAGCAUGUGGUUUAAUUCGAUGAUACGCGAGGAACCUUACCAAGGCUUAAAUGGGAAACGACGGAUCUGGAAACAGGUCUUCCUUCAGGCGUUUUUCAAGGUGCUGCAUGGUUGUCGUCAGCUCGUGCCGUGAGGUGUCAGGUUAAGUCCUAUAACGAGCGCAACCCCUGUUGUUAGUUGCCAGCGAGUCAGGUCGGGAACUCUAGCAAGACUGCCGGUGCAAACCGUGAGGAAGGUGGGGAUGACGUCAAAUCAUCACGGCCCUUACGCCUUGGGCUACACACGUGCUACAAUGGACGGUACAGAGAGCAGCCAGUGGGUGACCACGAGCGAAUCUACAAAACCGUUCUCAGUUCGGAUCGGAGUCUGCAACUCGACU